AAACUUUCAACAACGGAUCUCUUGGUUCUGGCAUCGAUGAAGAACGCAGCGAAAUGCGAUAAGUAAUGUGAAUUGCAGAAUUAGUGAAUCAUCGAAUUUUUGAACGCACAUUGCACCUCUUGGUACUCCUUGAGGUAUAUCUGUUUGAGCGCCGUUU
rnacentral:rRNA from 1 species